GGUGGGCAUGAGGCAGACAAGUUGCAUGGGUUCCGCCUCCACCAAGCAGGAGUUCUUCCUGUCCCAGCCAGCACCUUCCAGAAGGACCACAUUGAGGGGAGAAGGGUCCAGAGCCAGCAGUUUUCGGGUCCCCUCAUAAUCGAUCAUUUCAGGGAUCUUCUGCUUCACAUCAGUGGCCAACUCAAGAACCUGAGGAGGCAGGAGCUCUAGGUGUGGCCCUCCCUUCCUCCUUGUUUUCCCUCCCUCAGAUACUCCCACAGGGGAGCCGCAGGGAAGCUAAUGUAAAGAGAGAAGGCUGGGAUGAGGAAACCCCGCUUGGCACCAACCUCAAAGUCAGAAUCGUUGAAGCCAUAGAUAAUGUUCCAG